rnacentral:rRNA from 1 species
UCGAGAAUCUUCCGCAAUGGGCGCAAGCCUGACGGAGCGACGCCGCGUGCGGGAUGAAGGCCUUCGGGUUGUAAACCGCUGUCAGUUGGGAGGAAAUGCUAUGGGGUACUCUCCAUAGUUUGACCGAUCUUCAGAGGAAGUCCGGGCUAAGUUCGUGCCAGCAGCCGCGGUAAGACGAACCGGACGAACGUUAUUCGGAAUUACUGGGCUUAAAGAGUGCGUAGGCGGCUUUGUAGGUGAGGUGUGAAAUCCCACGGCUCAACCGUGGAACUGCGCUUCAAACCAUGAAGCUCGAGGGAGGCAGAGGUAAGCGGAACUGAUGGUGGAGCGGUGAAAUGCGUUGAUAUCAUCAGGAACACCAGUGGCGAAGGCGGCUUACUGGGCCUCUUCUGACGCUGAGGCACGAAAGCUAGGGUAGCGAACAGGAUUAGAUACCCCCGUAGUCC